GACGAACGCUGGCGGCGUGCUUAACACAUGCAAGUCGAACGGAAAGGCCCUGCUUUUGUGGGGUGCUCGAGUGGCGAACGGGUGAGAAACAAGUGAGUAACCUGCCCCUGACUUUGGGAUAACUUCGGGAAACUGGGGCUAAUACCGGGUAGGAGCUCCUGCUGCAUGGUGGGGGUAGGCAUGUUUCGGCGGUUGGGGAUGGACUCGCGGCUUAUCAGCUUGUUGGUGGGGUAGUGGCUUACCAAGGCUUUGAGGGGUAGCCGGCUUGAGAGGGUGCCCGGCCACUUUGGGACGGGGUUCCGGCCCGGCCCCCACCGGGAGGCAGCAGUGGGGAUUAUGGCACAUGGGCGGGAGGCCUAUGGCGGCACCGCGGCGUGCGGGUUACCGGCCUUGGGUUGUUAAACCGUUUUCGCAUGUGCGGAGGCGGUGGUGACGGUAAUGGGUAAAGAAGCACCGGCUAACUACGUG
rnacentral:rRNA from 1 species